UAUAUAUAUUUUGUUUAAAAAAAUUAUAUGUCAUUGUACCAUUAAUGGACUAUUAAAAAAAUGAACAUUAAAACAGUUGAAGAAAAUAAUAAACAAAAAACAACUAUCAGUCAAAAUCUAUCUGUCUGUGGAAUAAAUGUAUAAUAAAAAAAUAUGGAUUUGAGAUACUUCUCUCUCAAGAUUCUUAAGAAUUGUAAGAGUUUCUGAAAUAUAUAAUUAAUUAAUGUACCAUAUAUUUUUUUGAUCUCGAUUCAUUUGAAAUUCAAUACAACCCGGAAGUGUUUUUUCGAAACAUUGUGUUGUUCGCGUCCCCAGUAGGGAGAAAAAAGAUGUCAAGAAAGAUAUAACGGAGUCGACAAGAAGGUAUCGAGACGAAUUCGCAACGCGUGUCAUCACGAUUCACAGCUCGUGUGUUUCAAUGGCUAACCGAGUACACAUCGUACACACCGAAUAACGAAUGAAUCAUAGGAACUCUCGGCACACUGUACACACGAAACCGCGGUUCACUUUCUCCUCUCAGAAUCGUCCUCAAUUACACGGAGCCGAGACCGAGGCCUCGUGUAAUUAUACGGGUGAGGUAGCACCGGGCAACCUAGUGAAUCGCGCAUACAUUUUUUCUUUCCUCUUCUUUUUUUUUUUUUUCAGACUGGGAGAGACCCCUUUCACUCGUCUCGCGUCACCGAGACCUAGUUUUCUUUUUCCCGAAAAGACUAAAACGAACAUUUUCUUAUUUGUUUGUGACAAGCGUUUCUCUGCUUUCUAUUUCCCCACUAUGAAUUGAAUAUCUUCCGUGCGUGUUCCUCUAUACGUACUACAAAUAUUGAAACUUGAGCAACAUUGCUUGAUAAAGAGGAUGAAGAGAAUAAAGGGAAUAUUAGCGAAAUGAAAGAAACGAAAUGAAAUAGAGAUGGAUUAAUCAUUUUCAUCAUAGGCUGAGAACUUUCAACUUGAUUUUCCUGUUGAGAAACAAAUAUAGAUAUUGCGGUACACAUGAGUUACAGAGAAUUACGGAAGAAGGAAAUUUACGUACACACAAUUCUUCAAUUUAUCUCAUCAAAGAGAUUGAAUACGAAAAACGAUAUUUGACAUAAAGAAAGAUGAAGCGAAGAAAGUGGAGGACGAUAAUGACGAGGUAGUAUUCUCUGGAAGAGGAAAUGACAGGCAUAGGUACUAUGGUGCCGAAUAGUAAAAGUCGGAGAACAAUGGAUAAAUGGAAUGGUACAGCCGAGACCUUUCAGGCAAUCGGGUAACUGGCAAAAAUCGUGAAACACAAUGGAUAGAAGAACGCCUUCCCUUCUGGUCCGCUUUGCAAUUCCCCCACGUUUCACCGAGCAUUCCCUAACGUAACCACUCGCACAACCUAACGCGCCUGCGCCCCGGCACACCCACUUGACCCCGAAGUUGAAAGAAAUUAAAUUAUAUAGGCUCUAAUGUGUUCUCCAAGCCACUAAAUGGUCCCCAUAAGCCUUUAACUUUUCCAAAUUCCAUCAAUAUUGCGAAAUUUUUACGAUCUUUCAAAUGGAUCAUUUUGUAUCAACAAUAUUUUAAUUCUAAAAUUAAAUAAAAUGUUUUAUCAUCGCAUAAUAA